rnacentral:sRNA from 1 species
UUAACAGCCCUGGAGAAAAAAGUCCUUUAUGUAUCCACAGAACAGGUCCAGCUCCACACCACAAAUAUGCCUCAACCCUGCACUGCAGAAACCGCCUCUAGGGUUGAGGCAUUAGACCAGUUUCCACAGGCAUUCAGCAUAUGGCCUGU